AUGAAAGGAGUGGGGCCUGCUCACAGGUGCACAAAGAAGCAAGCAAACAAAUGGACAAUGCACUCACCUGCUGCUGUUUCUGUGUGUCUUCCGAUGAGUUCUGAGUCCUUACAGAUUCAUUUGCUGUACCUCUCUUUGUUCUUGCUACGCUCCUCUGGACUUUGUGUUCCACAGCCUGCAGUUGUGACAAACAAAAGGAUUGAAGGAGGAAAAAUGGUUCUGCAGAUAUGUUUGGUUCCUGAAGCAGUCGUGUAUACUGGCAUGCAUAACAAGGAACUGCUCUUUUCCAAUCACAGUGACUGCAGGAGCCCAGGAUCUUUGUUUUGCUGACAGCUGUGCUAUUCCCAUAUUCUGACUCAUCAGUGCCUGUUUCUACAGGGGUGAAAGCAGCUGCACUCUGCAGCACCACUCUAGCCUUGCACGUGAAAACAACCAUGAGGCAAGUGUUACCCAACAAGUUGUAUCAGUCCUGUAAAUUCUGUCCCUUGAGAGCAUUGCCUAUGUGUAUCGUGACGCAUCAUUAUCUUUGAUAAGGGAGAUGAAGACCUAUCAUUCUACAAGGUUCCAGCAUGAGUUCUGCAGGAGAUUAAAAUGAGUAGGACUGCUGUAUGCCCUGGGUCUGAGGUGUUUCUGGAGGAUUACAGCAUGUGUUCUUUGAGGAAGACGCAUGAGCAACAGGAGAAGCAACUGGACAUAAACUCCUCCAGAGAAGUUGCCUGCUGUAUCAGCAGAUCAACAGAAGAAAGAAACUGAGGAAGCCAGGCAUCACUUGAAUUUGGUAACAUAAGUCAUCUUGAUCAGAUUUCACACAAGUUUUUGGAAAGCAAACCACAUGAAUGAUAUUGGAUGUCCUUAGGUGUAACACUAUUUGGGUCUGUAUUCAAGAGCCUCGAUUUCCAGCAGUGCAUCACAUGGGCCAGAACACUGCUCUGAGCUCACAGUGUCCUUAAGAUGCCCAGCACCUGUGCUGGAGUAGAUGCCUGUCCUUUGGCUGCUUAGAGAUGAGAGAGACUUUUGCUGGAGCUCCUGUAAGCAGUAAUGAGAGAGUAUGAAAAUGGUGGUGAGGUCUCAUUGUAGAUUUUUCACCUGUAAAACUGAUUUAAACAUCUUAUGAUGCUUGGUACAACCUGAUCAUAUUAACUAGCAGCAGCCAUAGGCAUGCUGUAGUUAUUGACAGAUAAUUAUGGGUAGAUAAGUAAUUAAUUUCAUUGUAAUGAUUAGAUGAUAACUGCUACUAGGACAUUGCUGUAGGAAAAUACCAGGAAGAGUGGAAGAUAUUUUGGAAUUUAGUAUCUUGCUGUAUUAUAAUAUGAUCUGUUGGAUUUAUCCAACAAGGUUUCCCCUGCAAUUUUCUACUGGAAUCAGAGAAGUAUAUUGAAAUCCUCCUCAUGCCAAAGGAGGCUAUUUCUUGUAGAUGAUACUUUUAAUCAUGGAAUUGAAAAAUUUUGCUGAAGACAAUUUCCUGCUAUUUCAGCUCAUGAAAUGAUAGCUGGAUGUGAGCAAAAUACAACAUAUUUUAAGAAAUUACAGCUAAAAUCAUCUCUCUGCUGGAAAUUGAACUGAAUACCAUAGUGGUAGUUCUGGCCUUAACCUUCCCAUGUGACCCAAUUUUCUCUCUUCAUUUUCUUUCCCACAUAAAGCCUAUACAGCUAUAGUGAA
rnacentral:lncRNA from 1 species